AACUAGUACCGUGAGGGAAAGGUGAAAAGAACCCCUAUUAGGGGAGUGAAAUAGAACCUGAAACUGCAUGCCUACAAUCAGUCCGAGCCCUUUUUAGGGUGAGGGCGUACCUUUUGUAUAAUGGGUCAGUGACUUAAUUUAUUAAGCAAGCUUAAGCCAUCUAGGUGUAGGCGCAGCGAAAGCAAGUCUUAAUAGGGCGAUUAGUUUAAUGAAUUAGACCCGAAAACGAAUGAGCUUACCAUGAGCAGGUUGAAAGUUGGGUAACACCAACCGGAGGACCGAACCAGUUGACGUUGAAAAGUCUUUGGAUGACUUGUGGUAAGGGGUGAAAGGCCAACCAAAUUCGUAGAUAGCUGGUUUUCCGCGAAAACUAUUUAGGUAGUGCGUCGAAUAAAUAGAUGUUUAGAGGUAGAGCACUAAAUGGGCUAGGGGGAAGAGAUUCUUACCAAACCUAAUAAAACUCCGAAUGCUAGACAUUGUUCUUCGGCAGACAGACUGUGGGUGCUAAGGUCCAUGGUCGAGAGGGAAAGAGCCCAGACCACCAGAUAAGGUCCCAAAAUCAUGAUUAAGUGUGAAAGGAUGUGGAAAUUCCUUAACAGCCGGGAGGUUGGCUUAGAAGCAGCCAUCCUUUAAAGAUAGCGUAACAGCUCACCGGUCUAAUAGAGUUUCUGCGCCGAAGAUGUAACGGGGCUAAAAUCAUGUACCGAAUCUGUGGCUUUGCAAAGUUUUCGAACUUUGUAAGGGGUAGCGGAACGUUCUGUAAGCCUGCGAAGGGAUACCCGUGAGGGAUCCUGGAGGUAUCAGAAGUGCGAAUGCUGACAUAAGUAACGAUAAACGAAGUGAAAAACUUCGUCGCCGAAAAUCUAAGGGUUUCUAUGCAAGGUUAAUCCGCGUAGAGUUAGUCGGCACCUAAGGCGAGGGCGAAAGCCGUAGUCGAUGGAAACAAGGUUAAUAUUCCUUGACCUGAUGGUAGUGACGGAUUUCGUAAGUUGUGAGUUCUUAAUGGAUUGAACUUGCCGCGAAGAGGUCCCAAGAAAUAGCUCCAUCAUGAAGACCGUACCCGAAACCGACACAGGUAGAUUAAUAGAGUAUAUUUAGGCGCUUGAGAGAAUGAUGUUGAAGGAACUCGGCAAAAUGCUUCCGUAACUUCGGGAUAAGGAAGACCCUUUUGUAGGCAACUAUGGAAGGGUGGCACAAGCCAGGGAGAAGCGACUGUUUAUCAAAAACACAGGGCUCUGCUAACACGUAAGUGGAUGUAUAGGGUCUGACGCCUGCCCGGUGCUGGAAGGUUAAUGCGGUUGGUGCAAGCUAACUUCUGAAGCCCCAGUAAACGGCGGCCGUAACUAUAACGGUCCUAAGGUAGCGAAAUUCCUUGUCGGGUAAGUUCCGACCUGCAUGAAUGGCGUAACGAUUUCUCCGCUGUCUCCAACAUCAACUCAGUGAAAUUGAAUUCUCCGUGAAGAUGCGGAGUUCGCGUAGUUAGACGGAAAGACCCCGUGCACCUUUACUGCAACUUUACAUUGGUGUUAGGAAAAACAUAUUUAGCAUAGGAGGGAGACUUUGAAGCAAAGGCGUCAGCUUUUGUGGAGUCACCAGUGAAAUACCUCUUUUGUUUUUCUUGACAUCUAACCGCUAGCCGUCAUCCGGCAGCGAGACAUUGUAUGGUGGGUAGUUUGACUGGGGCGGUCGCCUCCCAAAUAGUAACGGAGGCGUGCGAAGGUAGGCUCAGAACGGUCAGAAAUCGUUCGUAGAGUGCAAUGGCAUAAGCCUGCCUGACUGUGAGACUGACAAGUCGAGCAGAGACGAAAGUCGGUCAUAGUGAUCCGGUGCUUCUGAGUGGAAGGGGCAUCGCUCAACGGAUAAAAGGUACGCCGGGGAUAACAGGCUGAUACUGCCCAAGAGCUCAUAUCGACGGCAGUGUUUGGCACCUCGAUGUCGGCUCAUCACAUCCUGGGGCUGGAGCAGGUCCCAA
rnacentral:rRNA from 1 species